rnacentral:lncRNA from 1 species
GGCCAGAAAACUAAAAAACAGGGAAGCUAGAAAAUCGAGUAAAAUGAACGAAAACUCGUUUUGAUGAAGAAUUAGCGAUGGAUCAUAGAUCUGUUGAACCAAUUGUAAGCUAAUCUGAUCCUCUCAUGUCAGUGAUUCACGUUAUUUCAAAAUUUAGAUCGUUUUUUUCUUUUUAUUUAUGAAAUUAUAUACAGAUUUAUCAUUUUAACUUCUGGAUCAUAUUCGGAAAUUAAUAUUCCAUUGUGAUUAAUUACUGAUAAAAUAAACAAAAAAAUUAGAAAAUAAAUCUUAAUUUAGUUAGAAGAAUUAUGUGAAGAUUUAUUUCGGGUUACCGGAACAUAUUUUAUUUUCCCGGGAUUAAAUUUUAAUCCCAUAAAUUUAAUAAUUAUUUUUUCAUGCAACUAUGACUGUAUACCUGAAUUUGCAGCGGCUAGGAAACAAGAAGGUGACAAGUGACAACUCUACUUGGGGUGUUGAAAACUAAAUUCGAAGGCAGAUUCAUGCAAAUAUACACUCUCUUUUGUCAGUCUUUAUCAACUAGAAAGAAUAAUACAUAUGCUGUACAUGCUUUGGCAUUGCCAUUAAUGACCAUUGAUAUUUUAUGGAACACUUGUAUGUUUUAUGCCAUUACUGUUAGAAAAGGGUUAAGGGGUUUUUGUAAGGAAUUAGGCACUUGUUCUUUGUAACCUCAUUGCCUUUUUUUUAUCAAAUGCAGUCUAGGUAUGUGUGUAGAGUCCAAUUCAACUAUUCUUUCAAUCCUUAAAAUGUUUUUAUAAUGUUAAUCUUUCACAGGCUCUUUGGUUUCAUCGUUGUUUCCUUUCCCUUCAUUUGAUGCGGCUUUUGAUAACUUUUGAUGGUAUUUGGUGCCAUUCUGAGCAGAAAACCAGCUAGGGUAAUGAAAUCAAUAUCUUUUUGGACAAUGAAUUAUGUCUCCUGGAUUCUUGAUCAACCAUUCAAGACAUGGAGUUUGAGGGUUUCGUAGAACAAGCAAUGUCUUCAGCAGCUUGCUUUUUAUGGUUGAUGAAGGUAAUUGUAAAAAAAUUGCUUAAAUUAUAUGGAGAUUGAACUGUAAGUGAAGCUGAAAUUUGGAAAUUUGAAGACCAUAUAUCACAUAAGACAUCUUCAGAAAGAUCUUUCCUUUGGGAUUUUAUAGACCUCAGAAGCUUUUAAUGAACAUCUACAUCCGAAUUAGUUCAUCUUUG